GUUUGAUCCUGGCUCAGGACGAACGCUGGCGGCGUGCUUAACACAUGCAAGUCGAACGGAAAGGCCCUGCUUUUGUGGGGUGCUCGAGUGGCGAACGGGUGAGUAACACGUGAGUAACCUGCCCUUGACUUUGGGAUAACUUCAGGAAACUGGGGCUAAUACCGGAUAGGAGCUCCUGCUGCAUGGUGGGGGUUGGAAAGUUUCGGCGGUUGGGGAUGGACUCGCGGCUUAUCAGCUUGUUGGUGGGGUAGUGGCUUACCAAGGCUUUGACGGGUAGCCGGCCUGAGAGGGUGACCGGCCACAUUGGGACUGAGAUACGGCCCAGACUCCUACGGGAGGCAGCAGUGGGAAUAUUGCACAAUGGGCGGAAGCCUGAUGCAGCAACGCCGCGUGCGGGAUGACGGCCUUCGGGUUGUAAACCGCUUUCGCCUGUGACGAAGCGUGAGUGACGGUAAUGGGUAAAGAAGCACCGGCUAACUACGUGCCAGCAGCCGCGGUGAUACGUAGGGUGCGAGCGUUGUCCGGAUUUAUUGGGCGUAAAGGGCUCGUAGGUGGUUGAUCGCGUCGGAAGUGUAAUCUUGGGGCUUAACCCUGAGCGUGCUUUCGAUACGGGUUGACUUGAGGAAGGUAGGGGAGAAUGGAAUUCCUGGUGGAGCGGUGGAAUGCGCAGAUAUCAGGAGGAACACCAGUGGCGAAGGCGGUUCUCUGGGCCUUUCCUGACGCUGAGGAGCGAAAGCGUGGGGAGCGAACAGGCUUAGAUACCCUGGUAGUCCACGCUGUAAACGGUGGGUACUAGGUGUGGGGUCCAUUCCACGGGUUCCGCGCCGUAGCUAACGCUUUAAGUACCCCGCCUGGGGAGUACGGCCGCAAGGCUAAAACUCAAAGGAAUUGACGGGGCCCCGCACAAGCGGCGGAGCAUGCGGAUUAAUUCGAUGCAACGCGUAGAACCUUACCUGGGUUUGACAUGGAUCGGGAGUGCUCAGAGAUGGGUGUGCCUCUUUUGGGGUCGGUUCACAGGUGGUGCAUGGCUGUCGUCAGCUCGUGUCGUGAGAUGUUGGGUUAAGUCCCGCAACGAGCGCAACCCUUGUUCACUGUUGCCAGCACGUUAUGGUGGGGACUCAGUGGAGACCGCCGGGGUCAACUCGGAGGAAGGUGGGGAUGACGUCAAGUCAUCAUGCCCCUUAUGUCCAGGGCUUCACGCAUGCUACAAUGGCUGGUACAGAGAGUGGCGAGCCUGUGAGGGUGAGCGAAUCUCGGAAAGCCGGUCUCAGUUCGGAUUGGGGUCUGCAACUCGACCUCAUGAAGUCGGAGUCGCUAGUAAUCGCAGAUCAGCAACGCUGCGGUGAAUACGUUCCCGGGGCUUGUACACACCGCCCGUCAAGUCAUGAAAGUUGGUAACACCCGAAGCCGGUGGCCUAACCGUUGUGGGGGAGCCGUCGAAGGUGGGACUGGUGAUUAGGACUAAGUCGUAACAAGAGAUCGG
rnacentral:rRNA from 1 species